rnacentral:rRNA from 1 species
GAUGAACGCUGGAGGCGUGCCUAAUACAUGCAAGUCGAGCGAAUGGAUUAAGAGCUUGCUCUUAUGAAGUUAGCGGCGGACGGGUGAGUAACACGUGGGUAACCUGCCCAUAAGACUGGGAUAACUCCGGGAAACCGGGGCUAAUACCGGAUAACAUUUUGAACCGCAUGGUUCGAAAUUGAAAGGCGGCUUCGGCUGUCACUUAUGGAUGGACCCGCGUCGCAUUAGCUAGUUGGUGAGGUAACGGCUCACCAAGGCAACGAUGCGUAGCCGACCUGAGAGGGUGAUCGGCCACACUGGGACUGAGACACGGCCCAGACUCCUACGGGAGGCAGCGGUAGGGAAUCUUCCGCAAUGGACGAAAGUCGGACGGAGCAACGCCGCGUGAGUGAUUAAGGCUUUCGGGUCGUAAAACUCUGUUGUUAGGGAAGAACAAGUGCUAGUUGAAUAAGCUGGCACCUUGACGGUACCUAACCAGAAAGCCACGGCUAACUACGUGCCAGCCGCCGCCGUAA